AUGACCUCAACGCUGAAUGCCUUGGUAAUGUUAUUCGUUUGAGUGUCGCUCUUUUUGAAGAGGUUGAUGCUGUCUUCAAUGACACACAAAUCAUAAACCUGACGCCUGGCCUUGCAACUCAGUGUGGAUUCAGCUUUAAAUUUGACCCCAUGGGGAAUGCCAUGUUUUUUGCUUCUCUUCAAAACUGCUUUUCCCAAAACAUGGAUGAUAAGAUGUUCAGCUUGGUCAUGCAGUUCAGGCUGCCAGGAAACCACAUGACUGAAGACCCUGUGUAUAGAGUGGGCAAAACCUGUAGCUACACCCCCUGGACCUCCCGAGAGAUUCUGUGCGACCGCAACCACA